rnacentral:lncRNA from 1 species
AAAACCGUUUUGUAAUCAAACAACCCUGAUUUUAUUAGUUUAAAGAGCACACAUGUGAAAGUUAAAUUGGUAUUUUCAUGUUAUGUCUCACAGACCUAAAUUCUGGCUGUGAAACUUAAAAUGAAGCAGGUAAAUGAACAAGGUGCAGAACUGCCCUAAUGAACCCCUGUCAUGAGACGGUCACUCCUGCCCACAGACUAGCUCUGCACAAUGGCCACUGAGAUCCUAGGAAAGCCAACUGCUGAAGGAACACCUGCUAUGCAAUAGAAUUGAUUCCCUUACAAAAUUACACAAUGAUUAAGAGAUAUAAAACACUCGGUACCACGAAAACACGUGUCAGCUGGGUCUCUUGCUUCUCUUGAAAUUAGGAAUGGCUUUCCAAAGGACACGGGGAGUACAGGGAAAUCGGCAGCGAGAGAGACUUCUUUCAAGAGGUCAAGGAGAGUGAGAAGGUGGUUUGCCAUUUCUACAGAGACACCACAUUCAGGUGUAAAAUACUAGACAGACAUUUGGCAAUUCUGGCCAAAAAACAUCUUGAAACCAAGUUUUUGAAGCUGAAUGUGGAAAAGGCACCAUUCCUCUGUGAGAGACUGCGGAUCAAAGUUAUCCCCACAUUAGCUCUCCUGAGAGACGGCAAGACACAAGAUUAUAUUGUGGGAUUCACCGACCUGGGAAAUACAGAUGACUUCACUACAGAAACUUUAGAAUGGAGACUCGGUUGUUCUGAUGUUAUCAAUUAUAG